rnacentral:rRNA from 1 species
GACGAACGCUGGCGGCGUGCUUAACACAUGCAAGUCGAACGGAAAGGCCCUGCUUUUGUGGGGUGCUCGAGUGGCGAACGGGUGAGUAACACGUGAGUAACCUGCCCUUGACUUUGGGAUAACUUCAGGAAACUGGGGCUAAUACCGGAUAGGAGCUCCUGCUGCAUGGUGGGGGGUGGAAAGUGUCGGCGGUUGGGGAUGGACUCGCGGCUUAUCAGCUUGUUGGUGGGGUAGUGGCUUACCAAGGCUUUGACGGGUAGCCGGCCUGAGAGGGUGACCGGCCACAUUGGGACUGAGAUACGGCCCAGACUCCUACGGGAGGCAGCAGUGGGGAAUAUUGCACAAUGGGCGGAAGCCUGAUGCAGCAACGCCGCGUGCGGGAUGACGGCCUUCGGGUUGUAACCCGCUUUCGCCUGUGACGAAGCGUGAGUGACGGUAAUGGGUAAAGAAGCACCGGCUAACUACGUG